UCACGCCCGACUGUCAGUGCUAAACACAGAGACUGGAAGCUGGAAAUGAAAAACUUUGAUACUGCAAACACUUGGAGGGGAUUAUAACAUCACAUGCUCGAGCCUACGAACACAAGAAGAGCCAGACUGGGUCAGCCCCAACAUCCUGUCUCCAGCAGCAAGCAGUAGCAGACUCCCCAGUGCUCAGCGCAGUUAGUUGACAAAACCCUGCUGCUUUUUAUUUUUUCCUUUUUUUUAUUUUAUUUUUUUUGUGUGUGUGUUUUCUUUCUUUUUCUUUUUUCCUUUUUUAUUUCUCUUCUCUUUUUCUUUCUCUUUUUCUUUCUCUUUUUCUUUCUCUUUUUUUUUUGUUUUCUUUUUCUUUUUUUAUUCUUCUGUAACAAGGUGUGUCCAAGAGUGGGAACAUCCCAGUGCAACUGUUUGCUGUCAUGUUGAAAUACAUCUGAGAUUGACAAAGUUCCCUGGGCUCCAGGAGCGUUACACAACCCGUUCAGUGCUAUAAAUCCAGGAUCUCCCUCUUCUCCCUCUUCUCCGCCUCUUUACAGCCCUUCGCUCCUCCUCGUGGUGGGACCUCCCCUCACGUCCAGCCAUGCGGAUCCUCCAGCUGCUCUUUGCAAUCAUUAUCAUUCUCCUCCUCCAGGAUGUUCCGGCAAGCGGCCUGUCGGACAGCCAGCAGUGCAGAAGCAACCAUGGCCACUGCCGGAGGCUUUGCUUCCACGCGGAGCACUGGGAAGGGAGCUGCAGCAACGGCCGCCUGCGCUGCUGCCGAUGAGAACAGCCACGCUGCGAUGGACCCCAGCACCCUAAGGUGAUCCUUCAACCACAGUGAUCCUGCAACCACAGCUGUAUGUAAGACCUGCUCCAUGCCUACACCUGCAGCUCAUUUUGUCCAUCACCAAUAAAGCUGUUGGGUUUGGAUGUCCU